rnacentral:rRNA from 1 species
CCGGAUUUAUUGGGUGUAAAGGGUGCGUAGGCGGGAAAAUAAGUCAGUAUGUGAAAUCCCUCGGCUCAACUGAGGAACUGCAACUGAAACUAUUUUUCUUGAGUGUUGAAGGGGAAAGUGGAAUUCCUAGUGUAGCGGUGAAAUGCGUAGAGAUUAGGAGGAACACCAGUGGCGAAGGCGACUUUCUGGGCAACAACUGACGCUGAGGCACGAAAGUGUGGGGAGCAAACAGGAUUAGAUACCCUGGUAGUCCACACCGUAAACGAUGGAUACUAGGAGUUGGCAAAAAUAUCGUCGGUUCCGCAGUUAACGCAUUAAGUAUCCCACCUGGGGAGUACGACCGCAAGGUUAAAACUCAAAGGAAUUGACGGGGGCCCGCACAAGCAGUGGAGUAUGUGGUUUAAUUCGAAGCAACGCGAAGAACCUUACCAGGGCUUGACAUAUACAGGAAUAUAUAAGAGAUUAUAUAGCUCUACGGAGUCUGUAUACAGGUGGUGCAUGGUUGUCGUCAGCUCGUGUCGUG